rnacentral:rRNA from 1 species
AAUCAACGCUGGCGGCGCGCCUAACACAUGCAAGUCGAACGAGAAAGCGGGGGCAACCUCGUGAGUAAAGUGGCGUACGGGUGAGUAACACGUGGAUCAUCUACCUUCUAGUGGGGAAUAACUUUGGGAAACCGAAGCUAAUACCGCAUAAGCUCGAGAGAGGAAAGCAGCAAUGCGCUGGAAGAGGAGUCCGCGGCCGAUUAGCUAGUUGGUAGGGUAAGAGCCUACCAAGGCUACGAUCGGUAGCCGGCCUGAGAGGGCACACGGCCA